GGUUGCGAUCAUACCAGCACUAAUGCACCGGAUCCCUUCUCCGCAGUUAAGCGUGCUUGGGCGAGAAUAGUACUAGGAUGGGUGACCCCCUGGGAAGUCCUCGUGUUGCAACCC
rnacentral:rRNA from 1 species